rnacentral:rRNA from 1 species
ACGAACGCUGGCGGCGUGCCUAAUACAUGCAAGUCGAGCGGACGGAUGGGAGCUUGCUCCCAGACCGUCAGCGGCGGACGGGUGAGUAACACGUGGGCAACCUGCCUGUAAGACUGGGAUAACUCCGGGAAACCGGGGCUAAUACCGGAUAACUCUUUCCCUCACAUGAGGGAAAGCUGAAAGAUGGCAUCUCGCUAUCACUUACAGAUGGGCCCGCGGCGCAUUAGCUAGUUGGUGAGGUAACGGCUCACCAAGGCGACGAUGCGUAGCCGACCUGAGAGGGUGAUCGGCCACACGGGGACUGAGACACGGCCCAGACUCCGACGGGAGGCAGCAGUAGGGAAUCUUCCGCAAUGGACGAAAGUCUGACGGAGCAACGCCGCGUGAGUGAUGAAGGUUUUCGGAUCGUAAAACUCUGUUAUCAGGGAAGAACAAGUACCGGAGUAACUGCCGGUACCUUGACGGUACCUGACCAGAAAGCCACGGCUAACUACGUG